CAAUAGCAUAUAUUAACGUUGUUGCAGUUGAAAAGCUCGUAGUUGAACUUUUGGUAGGAGCGACCUGGCCUUGGGCGCAUGCCCUUGUUUGCCGUGUGUCGUGUCUGGCCAUCCUUUUCCGCUUCGGCGGGAAUCUUUUACUGUGAGUAAACUGGAGUGCUCAAAACAAGACGUUUGUUUGGUACAUUAAAGCAUGGAAUAAUAAGAUAGGACCUGGUUACUAUUUUGUUGGUUUUCAUAGCUAGGUAAUGAUUAACAGGGACAGUUGGGGGUAUUCGUAUUUAAUUGUCAGAGGUGAAAUUCUUGGAUUUAUGAAAGACGAACGACUGCGAAAGCAUUUACCAAGGAUGUUUUCAUUAA
rnacentral:rRNA from 1 species